rnacentral:rRNA from 1 species
CAGCGUCACGAGUGGCAAUCGUAUUUAUUGGGUCUAAAGCGUCCGUAGCCUGUUUGAUAAGUCUUUUGUGAAAUCGUUGGGCUUAACUCAACGCUGUGCAAAAGAUACUGUUAGACUUGGAACUGGGAUGAGCUAGAGGUAUUCAAGGGGGAGCGGUAAAAUGCUAUAAUCCUUUGAGGACCACCAGUGGCGAAAGCGUCUGGCUAGAACAGAUUCGACGGUGAGGGACGAAAGCCAGGGGAGCAAAACGGAUUAGAUACCCGAGUAGUCC